rfam:Sarcophilus harrisii ctg7180001561524, whole genome shotgun sequence.
CUAUAGGUUUUAUUGAAAACCAUUUCCAUCCUAUUCAAAAAUACUU